UACUACCUUUUAUAACAGUAAGUGGUUCAUGAAGCUUUUGAAAGCAUAUAACUUGUAGACAUAAAUGCGCAUAUAGGUACAGGCAUAUAUAGUUAAAAUAUAUAUAUAUAUAAAUAUACAUACACGGAUAUACAGGUCAAUAUAUAGGCUAUAUAGGAGCUCUAUUAAUAAAUGGUAACGCGUACUGAAGUCUUAUACAAUAUACACAAACAAAAAAUAAAUGAAGAAAUUAAAAUUAAAAUUCGUUUUAAACCCAAUAACAUUAACCAUAUUAUUAACAUUAUAUGUCGUUCCAAAUGCUUUUAAUUUAAUCAAUUUUGUUUCUGCUGCUUCAAAAGUAGAAGCGAAUGUAACAAAAGUAAAUAAAAAUACUACUGGUGAACCUGACGUAUCAUUAGUUAUACACAAUGUAUCAACAGGGUUAUUGUUUUUUAAUCGAAACCAUGUAGAUAUAUUACAUAAAUUGCAAAAAAUAAUGUUAAAUUGUAUACAGUCAGCUGAAAAUAAUACGAAAUUAAAAAAACUGAACAUAAAUAAAGAUGACAUUUUAUCAUUCCCUGAAUUUACACAAAAUGUUAAUAAUAUCGUAAAAACUAUAAUAAGGUUUGUUAAAUUAAAUAUUUACAAAUUAAGUAAAAAAAUUAAUUAUAUAAAAAAAACCGAACCAUAUGAAACAGGUUUUAUAACAAAUACAAAAUUAUUUAAACUGAUAGAAGAGGUGAUGAAAGAAGAUAAAGAAAAAAAUGAAACAUUUUAUAAAUUGUUUCGUAAUUUGUAUGAACUAAAAGCAUAUAUGAAAAUGAAAUUCGCCAUGGAUAUAUCAAAUCAUAAUUCACAUCUUAUACUAAUAACUGAUAUAGACACAGAAACAAAUGGUAUGACAUUAGUUAUAGCGAAUGGAUUAAAAACAGAAUUAGUUACAGAAACAAAAUUAGAUAAAGAGAAACCUUUUCCUGUAUCUUUUUUUAUCCACUAUCCAUUGAUUUAUGAUAUAUUACAUUAUGUAAAAGUAAAACAAAAUGAUAACAUAGAUUAUUUUAAAAAUUUAUGUAAGAAACAUAAUUAUAAAAAUACAUCAUUUAACUGGCUUACACAUUUUUAUAAGUAUGACGAAAUAUUAUGUAGUAUGGACACAUGUGCAAAUGGGGAUUGUUUCUUUUUAUCACUACUAUUUUUACUUAAAUAUAACAAGUUUUUAGCAACAGAUUAUUUAACAGGUGGAAAAAGACAAGGAGAUCAAUUUGUAACGUGGUAUGUAGAUAAAAUAAAAAAUAAAAGCAAACCAAAUUUUACAGUUAAAGACUUAAGAAAUAUAACAAAUUAUGCAUUUUUAAUGUAUUUUCCUGACUAUCCAUAUACUCAAAUUAACAAAGAUCUUAUAAAAGAAAAAUUAAAUUUAUUAACAGAAGCUGAAUUCUCAAGUUAUUAUACUUAUAAUGAGUCUUUAGGCAUAAAAGCUGAUAAAUAUAUAUAUGAAAAAAGAAAACUUGAAACAGAUCAGGUCCCUUCAAAUAGAAUAUAUAUCAACUAUUACGAUUUAUUAGAUAAUAAUAAUGAUAGUAGUAGUACUACCAGUAGUAGUAGUAGUAGUAGUAGUAGUAGUAGUAGUAGUAAUAGUGAUAAUAAUUCAAAUGCAUCUAUCGAAUUUGGAAAAAAAUCAAAUAAAAAAAAGAAUAACGAUAAGGACAUGCGCGGUGGCAGUGAUCGAUUUAAAAAUGCUGCCAAACAACAACCACUACACGGAGAAUCUAAAAAUACUGAACCUAUUGAUAAAUCAGGUAAUACUCCCAUAAGGAAAAUUCUUAAAAAUGUAACUGUUACAACUCCAUAUACUAGUAAUGUUGCACCUGGUAAUACAGAAGGUCAAACUCAAACAAAACAAAACCUGCAGGAUACAUCAGAAACAGUAGAACCAAAUAAACAAGACACAGAAUCAUCAAGUACAACGUCAAACCUAUUACAAAACGUACAAAACACUUU
ensembl:lncRNA